UUACGGCUCAGUAACACGUGGACAACCUACCCUAAGGAGGGGGAUAACCCCGGGAAACUGGGGAUAAUACCCCAUAGAUUAUGGAUGCUGGAAUGCUCUGUAGUUGAAAGGUCAGCCGCCUUAGGAUGGGUCUGCGGCCGAUUAGGUUGUUGUUGGGGUAACGGCCCAACAAGCCUAUAAUCGGUACGGGUUGUGGGAGCAAGAGCCCGGAGAUGGAUUCUGAGACACGAAUCCAGGCCCUACGGGGCGCAGCAGGCGCGAAAACUUUACAAUGCGGGAAACCGUGAUAAGGGAACUCCGAGUGCCCGUUAAAUCGGGCUGUCCACCAGUUUAAAUAACUGGUGAAGAAAGGGCCGGGCAAGACCGGUGCCAGCCGCCGCGGUAAUACCGGCGGCUCGAGUGGUGGCCACUAUUACUGGGCUUAAAGCGUUCGUAGCUGGUCUGUUAAGUCUCUGGGGAAAUCUACCGGCUUAACCGGUAGGCGUCUCAGGGAUACUGGCAGACUAGGGACCGGGAGAGGUGAGGGGUACUCCAGGGGUAGGAGUGAAAUCCUGUAAUCCUUGGGGGACCACCUGUGGCGAAGGCGCCUCACCAGAACGGCUCCGACAGUGAGGGACGAAAGCUGGGGGAGCAAACCGGAUUAGAUACCCGGGUAGUCCCAGCUGUAAACGAUGCGCGUUAGGUGUAUCGGUGACCACGAGUCACCGAGGUGCCGAAGAGAAAUCGU
rnacentral:rRNA from 1 species